AAGUUUGGAGGUAAUUUUUAAAGAUAUUUUUAAAUUUUUUUAUUAUUUUGUUUUACAUGUAUGAGUGUUUUGCUCACAUGUAUGUCUGUGUGCCAGCAUUGUCUGGUAACCUCAGAGGUCAGAAGGUUUCUGACUCCCUGGAACAGGAAUUAUGGAUGAUUUCCAGACAACAUGUGAUGCUGGGAAUUGAACCCCAGGCCUUUGGAAGAGCAACAAAGUUCUUGACUGCUGAGCCAUCCUUCUAACCACCACCACCACCCUCUGGGAGUAAUUUCUUACACAGCAAUGGUUAGUUAAUAUGAGGGGUUUUGUAUACUUAGUAAAAAAACAAACAAGGCUCCGGGAAGAAUGUAAAAGCUGGGAGAUGGAGAGGCAUUCUCUAAAGUGCUGCCUGUGGACAUGACACUGUUGUUGGCAGCUGUAUAAGACACAAGACCUGCACAAGAUCAAGCCAACCAAAUUUCCAGCAUGGAUGAGGGAAAGGCUCAUGAGACUCUAUCCCUAAAGGAGGAGUUAUCAGCAGUUAACUGCUGGGAAUGGGAGGACCAGCCAUCCUUGGAGGGGUGCUUACUGGAUGGAUGCCCACACUCUACUGCUCUACUGGAUGAUCUCAUACACACAGGGAUGGCCAGCACUAAUGGGACUUACUAGAUUUUGUUUGUUUUCAAUGGGACAGGAAGUGGCGUGACUGAUGUGACAGGGGAGCUCUGAGGUGAGUUUGGAAUGGGGAAACGGCGGGUGGAUGUGAUCAUUUUUCAUUGUAUACACAUGGGCAAUUCCUGCUUCUUGAGCUCGCCAGGAAAGGCAGGGAUCUGUAGAGUAGAGCCAUGAAGCCUGAUAGCCUUCUAUGAGGGCAGGAAGUCACUAGGUGCUGGUUAUCCAUGGGCACCUGGUGGCGUUCGAAGGGCAGCAAUCAGGAAUCACCAGCUCCAGUAAAGACUUGCAAUGGCUCAGCCACCCCUGAAGAGUGGUCUGGGGGUCUCUUCAACAAAGAUCUGUAGCCACUUUUCCCUGGGCUCUGGCAUAGCUGGGUGCCCCAGUAAGGUUCCUUGGCCCCCAAAGGACCCAGGGCAGCUGGGAAUUCAUCCUGAAGUCUCUUGGCCAAGAGCUCUGGUUAGGGUUGUGGUUCUCUUUCAUUUUCUGACCACUGCUGGCUCUGUUUUACUUCUGUAGGUGAAGCACCCAUUUCCAGAAAGUGUAUAAAAUAAGCCAACUUCCCUAACCACCUGCCCGGGUUCUGACCUCUGAGCCAUGAAUAUGCAGGGAAACUACCACAUCUAUGUUUACAGCCCAGAUCUCUCUGUUAGUCUCUAGACAUGGAUUCCAUUGUACCCUCAUCUCCAUUUACAGGGAGGGUCUCAACACUUUAUGUCCAAAGAUAUUAUGUCCCUCCCUCUUUAUCGCUCCAGAUCUGUCAUCAUGAACUUAAUCCGUUAGUGUAUUCAGAAUAUAUUCAGAAUCUGAACACACUUAGGCACCCUGCUCCAUCAUCAGUGAAAGUCUAGGAAUCACAACCAGCAUUUUGCAAGAAUGAUCUUUUAAGACUAGUUGAUGGCUCUCCCGAUUAAAGAUUGGAGUGCUACCCAUCUGCUGUGGUUUGGGGAUGGUGUGAGGAUGGCCCAAAGGCUCACACACUGGAAGACUGGGUCCCAUGUGUACAGAGGUGGUGUGACUUCUAAGAGGUAGGGCUUCGUGAGAAGCUAAUUAGAUGAUAGUUCACUGUCCACAGAAGGACCUGAGUGGACCUUUGAGAGGUACCAUGACAGUGACCUGUAAAAAGAGCCAGCCUCAUCCCCUGACUCUCUCUGGCUUUUUUUGUCUUAUCAAAGCUUCUCUUUUGUAUAGACUCUUCCCAUUGUGAUGCCAUUCACCACGAGGUUCUCACCAGAGGCUCACACAACUGGGCUGGACUAGGUCUGGUCUUAGCCUUUCAGCCUCCAAAUCUAUGAGCUAAAUAAGCUUCCUUUCCUUGUAGGCACCCAAGACUCUGAUAUUCUGCAAGGCUGGUAGGAAAUGGAGCAGCACACGGUGUCCUCGUGAGGAAAAGCCAGCGUCCUCCUGGGUCUAUAAUUCAGUCCCACUCUGCUAUUGUCUGUCUCUCUCUUGCUUUGCUCCAGCCCAGGUCCCUGUAACAUGUCAGGGGCGCACCUCCUUUGGAACCUUGGUACUUUGGUACCUUGGAACCUUGGUGUUUUCCCUUCCUAGAGGGCUUUCCCCUGAGCCACUGUGUUGCUCCUGUCAGCUCAUUGUUGUGCAGAUAUCAUUUUUCUAAGGAAACCUCUCUCAUACGAAGUUGCUCACCUCACCCUUUCACCCUGCCCUCGCUCAUCCCUGAUACUGUUUCACUUUCUCACAGAGCUUAGCCCCGCGUGGCCUGCUGGAUGUCUGACAGAAGACAAAACAGUUCAAUUUCCAGGUCUUUCCUGAACUGCCUUCAUAACAUUCUCUUUAGGGUGGACAAUUCUGCUGCAGAACAAAGGCAUCCUUGGGUACUCUCCCUGGUUGCCACAACACCAAUUAAGAUACCCCUCCCCCUCAGACAGUAAAGCUCAGGGUCAACAGAAGAAACCAAGCUGGAGCUUCAAUGACAAAUGGGGACCAGAAGAAGACAGAACCAGCCUUUCCCUGCAAACGUGCUCCCAGCAGCUCGAUACCAGCUCCCCCUAAGUCAGAGAGACACGCAACAGAUCGCUGUACCACGGACCAUGGAUCAGUACUGCCCCCGUUCCUCAUACAGAAACACAGACUCCCACCCUCAGAGCAUCUACAUAGUCCCGAUACAGCUCCAGCCCCAGGAGGAGGGCUGGGAUGGGUCUGGAGGAAGCCAGGGCGGCCAGAACAUUACCUCUAAACAGCU